rnacentral:misc_RNA from 1 species
CGCACAUUGCGCCCUUUGGUAUUCCGAAGGGCAUGCCUGUUCGAGCGUCAUUAUCACCCCUCAAGCCCCGUGGCUUGGUGUUGGACGGCCGGCCUCUUCAUCGAGGCCCCUCCCAAAGUUAAUGACGGCGGCCUGUCGGACCCCCGGUACACUGAGCUUCUUCAUUGAGCACGUACCGGUCUUCGUGGUUGGCAGGCUCCGGUCCUCCGUUCCCUUCAUCGGGAACACCUUCUCAAGGUUGACCUCGGAUCAGGUAGGGAUACCCGCUGAACUUAA